rnacentral:rRNA from 1 species
AGUCGAACGCAGUAGCAAUACUGAGUGGCAGACGGGUGAGUAACAUGUGGGAAUCUGCCUUGUGGUUCAGGACAACAUUGGGAAACCGAUGCUAAUACUGGAUAAGCCCUUACGGGGAAAGUUUUAAUGCCAUAAGAUGAGCCCGCAUUUGAUUAGUUAGUUGGUGAGGUAAUGGCUCACCAAGACAAUGAUCAAUAGCUGAUCUGAGAGGAUGAUCAGCCACACUGGGACUGAGACACGGCCCAGACUCCUACGGGAGGCAGCAGUGGGGAAUCUUGCACAAUGGAGGAAACUCUGAUGCAGCGAUGCCGCGUGAGUGAAGAAGGCCUUUGGGUUGUAAAGCUCUUUUGUAGGGGAAGAUAAUGACUGUACCCUAAGAAUAAGGUCCGGCUAACUUCGUGCCAGCAGCCGCGGUAAUACGAAGGGACCUAGCGUAGUUCGGAAUUACUGGGCGUAAAGCGCGCGUAGGCCGUUGAGUUAGUUAAUUGUGAAAUCCCAAAGCUUAACUUUGGAACUGCAAUUAAAACUGCUCGACUAGAGUUUGAUAGAGGAAAGCGGAAUACAUAGUGUAGAGGUGAAAUUCGUAGAUAUUAUGUAGAACACCAGUUGCGAAGGCGGCUUUCUGGAUCAACACUGACGCUGAGGCGCGAAAGUAUGGGUAGCAAAGAGGAUUAGAUACCCUCGUAGUCCAUACCAUAAACGAUGAUUGCUAGAUGUUGGAAAUUUAUUUUCAGUAUCGCAGCUAACGCAUUAAGCAAUCCGCCUGGGGAGUACGACCGCAAGGUUAAAACUCAAAUGAAUUGACGGGGACCCGCACAAGCGGUGGAGCAUGUGGUUUAAUUCGAAGAUACGCGCAGAACCUUACCAACCCUUGACAUGUCUGUCGCGAGUUUA